rnacentral:rRNA from 1 species
UACGAAGGGGGCUAGCGUUGCUCGGAAUCACUGGGCGUAAAGCGCCACGUAGGCGGAUUGCUAGUCAGGGGUGAAAUCCUGGAGCUCAACUCCAGAACUGCCUUUGAUACUGGCGACCUUGAGUCCGGGAGAGGUGAGUGGAACUGCGAGUGUAGAGGUGAAAUUCGUAGAUAUUCGCAAGAACACCAGUGGCGAAGGCGGCUCACUGGCCCGGUACUGACGCUGAGGUGGCGAAAGCGUGGGGAGCAAACAGG